rnacentral:lncRNA from 1 species
UCUUGGCACACGCGUGUGCGCUGCCGGUGCCCCGCAGGCACCAGGAGAGGGUGCCCCGUUGCACGCCCACGCCCUGGCUACGGCUAAUGCAUCCGCCGGGAGCCCGGCCCGCGGCACGGUGAGCGGCACGGCCCCGGUGCCCGGUACCGUUUGGUGCCCGGUGGAUGCCGGGGCUCGGGUCCGUCUCCCCAGUGCUCGCCGCGGCUCCCGGUGCAGCGCCCGGCACGCGGCUCAGCGCACGUUUUUGGCACACGCCGCGGCUUUGUGCGAGGCAGGCGGGGGCCGGCAACCCCCCGGCCGGGGCCCUGGGUCCGGGAAGCGGGGGGCGAGGGGGGCUACACCGAGCCACCGGCCCCGGUGCUGCCGCCAGCCCCGGUGCAAGCCCCCUCCGGUGCCCACCACCGGGGCUGCGGGUGCCCCCGGGGUGUCGCACGGGGAUGGUGGCCCCACCACCGGGGCUGCGGGUGCCCCUGGUGCAUCGCACGGGGAUGGUGGCCCCACCACCGGGGCUGCGGGUGCCCCCGGGGUGUCGCAUGGGGAUGGUGGCCCCACCACCGGGGCUGCGGGUGCCCCUGGGGCGUCGCACGGGGAUGGUGGCCACAGGACCCCUCCGGUGCCCACCACCGGGGCUGCGGGUGCCCCCAGGGUGUCGCAUGGGGAUGGUGGCCCCACCACCGGGGCUGCGGGUGCCCCUGGGGUGUUGCACGGGGAUGGUGGCCCCAGGACCCCUCCGGUGCCCACCACUGGGGCUGUGGGUGCCCCCGGGGUGUCGCAUGGGGAUGGUUGCCCCAGGACCCCUCCGGUGGCCCCCGUACCCAGGGGAGGGCACAACCAGGAGGCUCCCCCCCCCAAUCCCAUCCACGCUGGUGCCACGCAGCGCCCCCCCCCCCCCCACCGCCGCCGCCGGCACUCACCGGGCGCGUGGACGAAAUAGGCCAGGUAGAGGUCGAGCUCUUUGAUGGUGACGCCGAUGUGGUGGGGCUGGACGCAGAGGCCGGGGCUGGCGCACUGCGGGGCUUUGGCCAAGCGCUCGCCGUCGGUGCUCUCCAGGGGCACCC